GAUCAUGGCUCAGGAUGAACGCUGGCGGCGUGCCUAACACAUGCAAGUCGAGCGAUUCUCUUCGGAGAAGAGCGGCGGACGGGUGAGUAACGCGUGGGUAACCUGCCUCAUACACAUGGAUAACAUACCGAAAGGUAUGCUAAUACAGGAUAAUAUAAGAGAUUCACAUGGAUUUCUUAUCAAAGCUCCGGCGGUAUGAGAUGGACCCGCGUCUGAUUAGCUAGUUGGUAAGGUAACGGCUUACCAAGGCGACGAUCAGUAGCCGACCUGAGAGGGUGAUCGGCCACAUUGGAACUGAGACACGGUCCAAACUCCUACGGGAGGCAGCAGUGGGGAAUAUUGCACAAUGGGCGGAAGCCUGAUGCAGCAACGCCGCGUGAGUGAUGAAGGCCUUCGGGUCGUAAAACUCUGUCCUCAAGGAAGAUAAUGACGGUACUUGAGGAGGAAGCCCCGGCUAACUACGUGCCAGCAGCGGC
rnacentral:rRNA from 1 species